CUUUAUACAGAGGUUUUCUUUCUUCUAAUGCAAGUUCCGAGGUUAAACAAUAAGGAGGUACCUUGACAUGAGCAUACAAAAUAAUUCCAGUCAAUGUCAAAGUUAUUCCAAUGACUUGAUUCAUCGCUAAAGUUUCAUGAAAUACAAUAGCUCCACCCAAAAGUAAAAGACAGAAUUUGGAAUGUCCCACCAUAUUAUAUCUAAGUUUUAAAUGAAGGUGUAUACAAUAUCAUACUAAGAAUUUGUUACAAUUACAACUGUUACAAAGGAUACGUUAAAGGUUCCAACAAUGGUACAACAAUAAGCAACAUAAUUGCUGAUAAGGGUGCUUGAUAAUACAACAAUUGCAUAGGAUCCAUUUGAAAUUCUU